AACGGUCUAUACCUGCGGUACCUGCGGAAGGAUCAUUAUAGAGUGGUAAACCCUCUGUAAAAGGGGGGGACCUCCUGUCCUUUGUAGGCUCUUUUUUAAAGGGCUUUUUUUAAUUUUCUGCUUCGGUGGGGUUAUCCCACCGGAACAACCUCAAAACUCUGAUCAAAAAUCGUUCUGUCUGAGAACUUUUUAUAAUAAAAAAAAACUUUUAACAAUGGAUCUCUAGAUCGGAAGAGCACA
rnacentral:misc_RNA from 1 species